rnacentral:rRNA from 1 species
GAUGAACGCUGGCGGCGUGCCUAAUACAUGCAAGUCGAGCGAACGGACGAGAAGCUUGCUUCUCUGAUGUUAGCGGCGGACGGGUGAGUAACACGUGGAUAACCUACCUAUAAGACUGGGAUAACUUCGGGAAACCGGAGCUAAUACCGGAUAAUAUUUUGAACCGCAUGGUUCAAUAGUGAAAGACGGUCUUGCUGUCACUUAUAGAUGGAUCCGCGCUGCAUUAGCUAGUUGGUAAGGUAACGGCUUACCAAGGCAACGAUGCAUAGCCGACCUGAGAGGGUGAUCGGCCACACUGGAACUGAGACACGGUCCAGACUCCUACGGGAGGCAGCAGUAGGGAAUCUUCCGCAAUGGGCGAAAGCCUGACGGAGCAACGCCGCGUGAGCGAUGAAGGUCUUCGGAUCGUAAAACUCUGUUAUUAGGGAAGAACAUAUGUGUAAGUAACUGUGCACAUCUUGACGGUACCUAAUCAGAAAGCCACGGCUAACUACGUG